rnacentral:rRNA from 1 species
GACGAACGCUGGCGGCGUGCUUAACACAUGCAAGUCGAACGGAAAGGCCCUGCUUUUGUGGGGUGCUCGAGUGGCGAACGGGUGAGUAACACGUGAGUAACCUGCCCUUGACUUUGGGAUAACUUCAGGAAACUGGGGCUAAUACCGGAUAGGAGCUCCUGCUGCAUGGUGGGGGUUGGAACGUUUCGGCGGUUGGGGAUGGACUCGCGGCUGAUCAGCUUGUUGGUGGGGUAGUGGCUUACCAAGGCUUUGACGGGUAGCCGGCCUGAGAGGGUGACCGGCCACAUUGGGACUGAGAUACGGCCCAGACUCCUACGGGAGGCAGCAGUGGGGAGUAUUGCACAAUGGGCGGAAGCCUGAUGCAGCAACGCCGCGUGCGGGAUGACGGCCUUCGGGUUGUAAACCGCUUUCGCCUGUGACGAAGCGUGAGUGACGGUAAUGGGUAAAGAAGCACCGGCUAACUACGUG